AGGAGGCAAGAGCUUGCUGUUUGCCUGCCUGAAGGGACGCAGCAGCAAUCUGCCACCCAAUGCAGCCACUGGAGACAAGGGACAGUUCGUGCCGUGAUGGGCCUGGUGACCUCCAACUGAAGGAGAAUCCAGAUGGAAAACUCUCAGAGAAUGGUACAGCACAGAGAGCAGCAGAGGAAGCUUCCUCUCAUUGAACCACCGACCCCCUCUGUGCUUGGGGAGAAGACUUACAGAAGAUACGACCAUCUUUCUCUGUGCCCAUUCCCAGUGCAUGCUCCCUGCUGAAGCUGUCCCUGCAGUGGUGGUUUUUAUAAUGGGGUUGUCUGUCCUCUCAGAGUUGGCUUGAGACCCAGCACUUCUUUUCAUAUAGGACACCAAACAGCCUUCAGAUGAAAAUUAUUUUUAUCAUGAUUCACCUGAGCCAAUUUCAAGCCAGUGUCAUAGUAGUGAAAGGCCAGUCCUUGGGACUUACCCAGUCAAAUCUAUUUUGUGAUUCAAAACCUUGAAAAAUUUGCUCUUUUUAUGGGCUUGAAAACAAAGAAGAAAUUUAUACAUUUUUCACUAGUGAAAUGCUAAAAGAUACAUUCCAAAACAAAUUGACCCUAAUCUAGCUCUUCAAAAAACAAGUCUAUUGGUUAUUUACAGACACCAGUGUGUCAAGUAAAAUAAAGUUUGUUCCAUUGAUGAAACCCUAUUGACAACUAUCUGAUAGUCCUGGAUGUUAUUCAAGCCUCUGAGAACAUUAAGAAAGGAGAGGUAAGGUUUUAAAAUGAUUUCUACUCUCAGAACGAGGCUUGGAAGCACUACCUGACCUGAAUUUGUUAUUAGCCUUUUAACAGUCUAGCUUAUCAAUGUUAGCAUUAAUUUUCUGAGACUAUACACAA